rnacentral:lncRNA from 1 species
UCCUCCUAUAUUCCUUUUCUUCUCUAGAGAGUCUGAGAGAUCAAGGGAAGGAUUCAAAUCAGCCAUCAAGGAGGUGUCUUCUGUAAGGGAGCUAGCACCCCAGUGAAGAUACAGGCCUCUGUUCGGAUUGAGAGCUUCAUGUGGAUAUCCGUGAGGUCGGACACAUGUGCAACUCAUCGAAGACCUCAUCAGAUUACCAUAAUCAUCAACCGUGGAGAUCGUCAACCCAUGCGAAGGUAUGGAGAUAGAAUAUCCAAUUUUCUAUUUUAUUUAAAUCUGAUUUUUCAACAUUUUAAAAGUAUGUAAUCGAUCCU